rnacentral:lncRNA from 1 species
CUUUAGCUCCAGUGAAGGGAGAGAUCAUUGAUUUAACUUCAGAUUUUAUCCAAAAGAGGAAGCAGCCAUCUUUUGAGGAGUCUGUUGAUCAAAAGUUGUAUACCUGUGAGUACCUUCACUGCCCAUAUAGCAAUUAUCAAGCUGGAUUCCUUGACAGGACUUCAAGAAAUAAUCAUCAAAUGGAUUGUCCAUUCCGUUUCAACUCUGCUCAACGACUUGGCAUGCCGCCAAAGUAUCACAUCAACAAUGAGAAUAAUACAGUUUUUCCUGCUCAAAUUGCGACUAAGCCAGCUACUUCAUCAGUCACAGCUUCCUCGUCGAUGACUGUCUCUGGGCUUGGACUCCCUGAAGAUGGCCAAAGGAUGAUUUCUGACCUCUUUACAUUUUAUGAUAACAACUUGCAGCAAAAUAGUAGCAUCUGUUCUGGAAAUUCCAAGAUUCUAGCAAAUCAAAGCAUGCAGCAGAACCAAACAGUUGAACUUCCGAUGGACGACAACUUCAACCUGGGACAUUUGGAGGCAGAAGCUCAAGAAUAUUCUAGCAAAUCAAAACAUGCAGCAGAACCAAACAGUUGAACUUCCGAUGGACGACAACUUCAACCUGGGACAUAUGGAGGCAGAAGCUCAAGAAACAAGCAUGACCAUGAAUUCAGCUUAUACUUCGACGGAGUUUCAAUAUGAUCAAUGCAAGUUGCCCUUUGAUGCCCCAUUUGCCGGAAACUUGAACGAUACUACUGAUUACAGAUUUGGUUCCCCAUUCAACAUGGGAGGAAGUGACUAUUCCAUAGAUCAG